rnacentral:rRNA from 1 species
GACGAACCGUGCGAACGUUAUUCGGAAUCAUUGGGCUUAAAGGGCGCGUAGGCGGCGGUGUAAGUUGGAAGUGAAAUCCCAUCGGCUCAACCGUGGAAUUGCUCCCAGUACUGCACUGCUCGAGGGGGAUAGGGGUCUGCGGAACUACCGGUGGAGCGGUGAAAUGUGUUGAUAUCGGUGGGAACGCCAGUGGCGAAAGCG